CGCAAGAUACGACCAGACUUUGAGAACUUUCGGAGGUGCUAGAACUGUUGGUGUAGGGGUGAAAUCCGUUGAUACCAACAGGAAUACCGACAGCGAAGGCGGGCACCUAGAGAGAUUCUGACACUGAGGGACGAAAGCUAGGGGAGCAAAUGGGAUUAGAGACCCCUGUAGUCCUAGCCGUAAACGAUGCUCGCUAGUCCGAUGGGUUUAUUCUUAUCGGACGUAAGCUAACGCGUUAAGCGAGCCGCCUGGGGAGUACGGCCGCAAGGCUAAAACUUAAAGGAAUUGACGGGAGAGCGCACAACCAGUGGAGCAUGUGGUUUAAUUCGAGACAAACCGAAGAACCUUACCCAGGUUUGACAUGCAAUGUUUAAUGCCAGACUAGAAACAGAUUGGAAUAUUACUUUAUUGUAGUAGACGUUGCACAGGUGGUGCAUGGCUGUCGUCAGCUCGUGCCGUGGGGUGUCCUCUUAAGUGAGGUAACGAGCGCAACCCCUGCUGUAUGUUAAAUAUUCAUACAGGACUGCUCCGCCUUUGGCGGGGAGGAAGGAGGGGACGACGUCAAGUCCGCAUGUCCCUUAUAUCUGGGGCUACACACAUGCUACAAUGGCGCUGACAAUGGGUUGCCAAGCCGCAAGGUGGAGCUAAUCCCAUCAAACAGCGUCUCAGUUGGGAUUACAGGCUGAAAUUCGCCUGCAUGAACUUGGAAUUGGUAGUAAUCGCAGGUCAGCUAUACUGCGGUGAAUACGUUCUCGCUCUUUGUACACACCGCCCGUCAAGCCAGCAAAGUUGGAGGUACCCGAAGUGUCGCCAUUGGUGACCCUAAGGUAAACCCAGCGAUGAGGACUAAGUCGUAACAAGGUAUCCGUACUGGAAGGUGCGGAUG
rnacentral:rRNA from 1 species